rnacentral:rRNA from 1 species
CCUACGGGAGGCAGCAGUGGGGAAUAUUGGACAAUGGGCGGAAGCCUGAUCCAGCAACGCCGCGUGAGGGAUGACGGCCUUCGGGUUGUAAACCUCUUUCAGCACCGACGAAGCGUGAGUGACGGUAGGUGCAGAAGAAGGACCGGCCAACUACGUGCCAGCAGCCGCGGUAAU